CCUGCCACCCAGCAGGAGGCCCUUCAAAACUCAGUCAACUACCUUCACCAACCCAGGAAAUGUGUGACAACUAAAUAUAGUCAAAUCAAGGCAGCAGCAGUGAGUUCUAUUUUGGCUGAUUCAUCAUGUGAACCUAUUAUCCUUGGGAUAGAGUCAGGUGGAGGGAGUGACUCAGCAUUUAAGGAGUACAGUAGAGAGGUUGCACAACUUUCAGCUUCUCUGACUGACAUCAGUGCAUCAUCAAAUGGCUUCCUGAUGGAGUUUGUUGUUCAGGCUUGGCUCCUGCCAAGAACACACUGCUCACUUCAGAAGCAACAGAAAGCAAGAAGGAAGUCACAAUAUCUAAGAUUCUACUAGUUUCACAAGCAUUAUUAUCAGAAACUUCCAAGACACAUAUACAAUUUUUUUGCACGUGAUUUUCACUUGUAUUAAGCUCGUAGAUGACCUCUUUUUACUGAAGAUCACUUAUUUCAGCCAUUGUAAUUCUUCAUAGGAUACUGGUCUGAGUGGGAAAAGCUAAAGAGCUAAAGAGAAUCAGAAGGAAAGAAGGAGUCUCAGCCAGAGGCCUCAAUGUCCAUUUCCCAUAUGUGGAAAUACCAGACAACAAGGAAGUUCUGGCAGAUGAAUGGAAGCUAAGCUCUCCUGGAUGGAGAGUGUUAGAAGAGACACUGGAAACUCAGUCCCAAGAUGCUCAGAGGGAAGGAAAGGAGAGAGCAACAACCUCUGGAAGAAAUGGAAGUGGUUAUCACUAAUGCAAACAUAUUACAUUGAAUGAAAGAAUCUUCUUUCACAGCUUUGCAGCAAACACACAGAAGACAUGAAGAAAAUAAGUCCACAGCCCAAAUUAUCACAACGAGUUUGGAACUUAGGAUAUCCUUCAUUUUGGCUAAUCAGAUCCCUUCCUAGUUAUGAUGGGGCAAACUUCGUAAUAACACACAGCCUGGACUCCACCAAUGGGAAUAAUUACCAUCUGUAGAAGUAUUAUGAAACUGCCUUAUAAAAGUUUUUUUAUUAAAUAUAUAAAAUUAAACUCAU
rnacentral:lncRNA from 10 species